CAGCACCUCAAGUGGUCAGGAUGAUUAUUGGGCCUAAAGCAUCCGUAGCCUGCUUUGUUAGUUUUCGGUUAAAUCCAUACGCUCAACGUAUGGGCUGCCGGAAAUACUGCAAAGCUAGGGAGUGGGAGAGGUAGACGGUACUCGGUAGGAAGGGGUAAAAUCCUUUGAUCUAUUGAUGACCACCUGUGGCGAAGGCGGUCUACCAGAACACGUCCGACGGUGAGGGAUGAAAGCUGGGGGAGCAAACCGGAUUAGAUACCCGAGUAGUCC
rnacentral:rRNA from 1 species